CCUACGGGAGGCAGCAGUGAGGAAUAUUGGUCAAUGGGCGAGAGCCUGAACCAGCCAAGCCGCGUGAAGGAUGAAGGAUCUAUGGUUUGUAAACUUCUUUUAUAUGGGAAUAAAUUGAGGUACGUGUUCCUUUUUGUAUGUACCAUAUGAAUAAGCAUCGGCUAACUCCGUGCCAGCAGCCGCGGUAAUACGGAGGAUGCGAGCGUUAUCCGGAUUUAUUGGGUUUAAAGGGUGCGUAGGUGGUUAAAUAAGUUAGCGGUGAAAGUUUGUGGCUCAACCAUAAAAUUGCCGUUGAGACUGGUUGACUAGAGUAUAGUUGAGGUAGGCGGAAUGCGUGGUGUAGCGGUGAAAUGCAUAGAUAUCACGCAGAACUCCGAUUGCGAAGGCAGCUUACUAAACUAUAACUGACGCUGAGGCACGAAAGCGUGGGGAUCAAACAGGAUUAGAUACCCCGGUAGUC
rnacentral:rRNA from 1 species